rnacentral:rRNA from 1 species
GGGACACGUGGUAUCCUGUCUGAAUAUGGGGGGACCAUCCUCCAAGGCUAAAUACUCCUGACUGACCGAUAGUGAACCAGUACCGUGAGGGAAAGGCGAAAAGAACCCCGGCGAGGGGAGUGAAAAAGAACCUGAAACCGUGUACGUACAAGCAGUGGGAGCACGCUUAGGCGUGUGACUGCGUACCUUUUGUAUAAUGGGUCAGCGACUUAUAUUCUGUAGCAAGGUUAACCGAAUAGGGGAGCCGAAGGGAAACCGAGUCUUAACUGGGCGUUAAGUUGCAGGGUAUAGACCCGAAACCCGGUGAUCUAGCCAUGGGCAGGUUGAAGGUUGGGUAACACUAACUGGAGGACCGAACCGACUAAUGUUGAAAAAUUAGCGGAUGACUUGUGGCUGGGGGUGAAAGGCCAAUCAAACCGGGAGAUAGCUGGUUCUCCCCGAAAGCUAUUUAGGUAGCGCCUCGUGAAUUCAUCUCCGGGGGUAGAGCACUGUUUCGGCAAGGGGGUCAUCCCGACUUACCAACCCGAUGCAAACUGCGAAUACCGGAGAAUGUUAUCACGGGAGACACACGGCGGGUGCUAACGUCCGUCGUGAA